rnacentral:rRNA from 1 species
GAUGAACGCUGGCGGCGUGCCUAAUACAUGCAAGUCGAGCGAACGGACGAGAAGCUUGCUUUUCUGAUGUUAGCGGCGGACGGGUGAGUGACACGUGGAUAACCUACCUAUAAGACUGGGAUAACUUCGGGAAACCGGAGCUAAUACCGGAUAAUAUUUUGAACCGCAUGGUUCAAAAGUGAAAGACGGUCUUGCUGUCACUUAUAGAUGGAUCCGCGCUGCAUUAGCUAGUUGGUAAGGUAACGGCUUACCAAGGCAACGAUGCAUAGCCGACCUGAGAGGGUGAUCGGCCACACUGGAACUGAGACACGGUCCAGACUCCUACGGGAGGCAGCAGUAGGGAAUCUUCCGCAAUGGGCGAAAGCCUGACGGAGCAACGCCGCGUGAGUGAUGAAGGUCUUCGGAUCGUAAAACUCUGUUAUUAGGGAAGAACAUAUGUGUAAGUAACUGUGCACAUCUUGACGGUACCUAAUCAGAAAGCCACGGCUAACUACGUG